AGAGUUUGAUCAUGGCUCAGGAUGAACGCUGGCGGCGUGCCUAACACAUGCAAGUCGAGCGAAGCACUUUACCAGAUUUCUUCGGAAUGAAAGUGAUGUGACUGAGCGGCGGACGGGUGAGUAACGCGUGGAUAACCUGCCUCAUACAGGGGGAUAACAGUUAGAAAUGACUGCUAAUACCGCAUAAGACCACAGCACCGCAUGGUGCAGGGGUAAAAACUCCGGUGGUAUGAGAUGGAUCCGCGUCUGAUUAGCUAGUUGGUAAGGUAACGGCUUACCAAGGCAACGAUCAGUAGCCGACCUGAGAGGGUGACCGGCCACAUUGGGACUGAGACACGGCCUAA
rnacentral:rRNA from 1 species